GAAAUGCGAUAAGUAAUGUGAAUUGCAGAAUUCAGUGAAUCAUCGAAUCUUUGAACGCACCUUGCGCUCCUUGGUAUUCCUUGGAGCAUGCCUGUUUGAGUAUCAUGAAAUCUUCAAAGUAAAUCUUUUGUUAACUCAAUUGGUUUCUACUUUGGUAUUGGAGGUCUUUGCAGCUUCACACCUGCUCCUCUUUGUUCAUUAGCUGGAUCUCAGUGUUAUGCUUGGUUCCACUCGGCGUGAUAAGUUAUCUAUCGCUGAGGACACUGUAAAAGGUGGCCAAGGUAAAUGCAGAUGAACCGCUUCUAAUAGUCCAUUGACUUGGACAAUACUUUUAUGAUCUGAUCUCAAAUCAGGUAGGACUACCCACUGAACUUAAG
rnacentral:misc_RNA from 1 species